UGGCGGGAGACUAAAUUGGAUCAAAUUAUGCUUAAAAUAGCGGAAGGUCGGGUUGGGCUAAGUCAUGUUUGAAGUGGGGGGAGUAAUUGUUAGCACUAAUGACCCAAUAAGUGAUAUCAAAUCUAGAGAUAUAGGCUCGAUUUUCACAUGUUGCAAAUAUGUGCAGGUGCUGAGAAAAAGAUUGUUGACUUAAAAGGAACCAGCAUCCUACCUCGUGGCUAGUAGCGUGUAUAUAACGGUAUAAUAAAUUAGUUGUAUUAAUUGUUAGCGCGAACGAUUCAACAGUAUGUCAUGGUAAUUUUUAAAGU
rnacentral:lncRNA from 1 species